AUUGAACGCUGGCGGCAGGCCUAACACAUGCAAGUCGAGCGAGUGGCGGACGGGUGAGUAAUAUAUCGGAACGUGCCCAGUAGCGGGGGAUAACUACUCGAAAGAGUGGCUAAUACCGCCUACUAUUGGAGCGGCCGAGAUCGGAUUAGCUAGUUGGUGGGGUAAAGGCUCACCAAGGCAACGAUCCGUAGCUGGUUUGAGAGGACGACCAGCCACACUGGAACUGAGACACGGCCCAGACUCCUACGGGAGGCAGCAGUGGGGAAUUUUGGACAAUGGGGGAAAGCCGGAUCCAGCCAUCCCGCGUGUGUGAGAAGGCCUUCGGAUUGUAAAGUACUUUUGGCAGGGAAGCGGUAUCUACAGAAUAAGCACCGGCUAACUACGUGCCAGCAGCCGCGGUAAUAC
rnacentral:rRNA from 1 species